AGUGGAUUAGCGGCGGACGGGUGAGUAACACGUGGGUAACCUGCCUCAAAGUGGGGGAUAGCCUUCCGAAAGGAAGAUUAAUACCGCAUAAUAUAAGAGAAUCGCAUGAUUUUUUUAUCAAAGAUUUAUUGCUUUGAGAUGGACCCGCGGCGCAUUAGCUAGUUGGUAAGGUAACGGCUUACCAAGGCAACGAUGCGUAGCCGACCUGAGAGGGUGAUCGGCCACAUUGGAACUGAGACACGGUCCAGACUCCUACGGGAGGCAGCAGUGGGGAAUAUUGCGCAAUGGGGGAAACCCUGACGCAGCAACGCCGCGUGGGUGAUGAAGGUCUUCGGAUUGUAAAGCCCUGUUUUCUGGGACGAUAAUGACGGUACCAGAGGAGGAAGCCACGGCUAACUACGUGCCAGCAGCCGCGGUAAUACGUAGGUGGCGAGCGUUGUCCGGAUUUACUGGGCGUAAAGGGUGCGUAGGCGGAUGUUUAAGUGGGAUGUGAAAUCCCCGGGCUUAACCUGGGGGCUGCAUUCCAAACUGGAUAUCUAGAGUGCAGGAGAGGAAAGCGGAAUUCCUAGUGUAGCGGUGAAAUGCGUAGAGAUUAGGAAGAACACCAGUGGCGAAGGCGGCUUUCUGGACUGUAACUGACGCUGAGGCACGAAAGCGUGGGUAGCAAACAGGAUUAGAUACCCUGGUAGUCCACGCCGUAAACGAUGGAUACUAGGUGUAGGGGGUAUCAACUCCCCCUGUGCCGCAGUUAACACAAUAAGUAUCCCGCCUGGGGAGUACGGUCGCAAGAUUAAAACUCAAAGGAAUUGACGGGGGCCCGCACAAGCAGCGGAGCAUGUGGUUUAAUUCGAAGCAACGCGAAGAACCUUACCUGGACUUGACAUCCCUUGCAUAGCCUAGAGAUAGGUGAAGCCCUUCGGGGCAAGGAGACAGGUGGUGCAUGGUUGUCGUCAGCUCGUGUCGUGAGAUGUUAGGUUAAGUCCUGCAACGAGCGCAACCCUUGUUAUUAGUUGCUACCAUUAAGUUGAGCACUCUAAUGAGACUGCCUGGGUAACCAGGAGGAAGGUGGGGAUGACGUCAA
rnacentral:rRNA from 1 species